UGGCUCCUCAUUCACUCUUAUCAACAGGUUGCCUUCUUAUUCUGUCUGUGUAGAAAGAGGCGGCAGAGUGAAUCUCGCCCUGUAUACCUCAGCCCAGCUACUGUACUUGGUCUGUACUAUGAUGGGAAGACCUUG
ensembl:snoRNA